GACGAACCGUGCGACCGUUGUUCGGAAUCACUGGGCUUAAAGGGCGCGUAGGCGGCUUGCCAAGUCCGGGGUGAAAGCCUCCAGCUCAACUGGAGAAGUGCCUUGGAAACUGGCGAGCUCGAGCGAGGUAGGGGUCGUGGGAACUUCCGGCGGAGCGGUGAAAUGCGUUGAUAUCGGAAGGAACGCCGGUGGCGAAAGCGCACGACUGGAUCUCUUCUGACGCUGAGGCGCGAAAGCCAGGGGAGCAAACGGG
rnacentral:rRNA from 1 species